rnacentral:rRNA from 1 species
AGAGCGAACGCUGGCGGCAGGCUUAACACAUGCAAGUCGAGCGGGCGUAGCAAUACGUCAGCGGCAGACGGGUGAGUAACGCGUGGGAACGUACCUUUUGGUUCGGAACAACACAGGGAAACUUGUGCUAAUACCGGAUAAGCCCUUACGGGGAAAGAUUUAUCGCCGAAAGAUCGGCCCGCGUCUGAUUAGCUAGUUGGUGAGGUAAUGGCUCACCAAGGCGACGAUCAGUAGCUGGUCUGAGAGGAUGAUCAGCCACAUUGGGACUGAGACACGGCCCAAACUCCUACGGGAGGCAGCAGUGGGAAUAUUGGACAAUGGGCGCAAGCCUGAUCCAGCCAUGCCGCGUGAGUGAUGAAGGCCCUAGGGUUGUAAAGCUCUUUUGUGCGGGAAGAUAAUGACGGUACCGCAAGAAUAAGCCCCGGCUAACUUCGCGCCAGCAGCCGC